AUACUGCCGUGAAUACGUUCCCGGGCCUUGUACACACCGCCCGUCACACCAUGAGAGUUGGGGAUACCCGAAGCCUGUGAGCCAACAAUAUAUUGAGGCAGCAGUCGAAGGUAGAAUCAAUGAUUGGGGUGAAGUCGUAACAAGGUAUC
rnacentral:rRNA from 1 species